ACGGGUCUAGCUCAGUCGGUAGAGCACUGGUCUCCAAAACCAGGUGUCGGGAGUUCGAGUCUCUCGACCCGUG
rnacentral:tRNA from 1 species